GACGAACGCCGGCGGCGUGCCUAAUACAUGCAAGUAGAACGCUGAAGGAGGAGCUUGCUUCUCCGGAUGAGUUGCGAACGGGUGAGUAACGCGUAGGUAACCUGCCUGGUAGCGGGGGAUAACUAUUGGAAACGAUAGCUAAUACCGCAUAAGAGUAGAUGUUGCAUGACAUUUGCUUAAAAGGUGCAAUUGCAUCACUACCAGAUGGACCUGCGUUGUAUUAGCUAGUUGGUGGGGUAACGGCUCACCAAGGCGACGAUACAUAGCCGACCUGAGAGGGUGAUCGGCCACACUGGGACUGAGACACGGCCCAGACUCCUACGGGAGGCAGCAGUAGGGAAUCUUCGGCAAUGGACGGAAGUCUGACCGAGCAACGCCGCGUGAGUGAAGAAGGUUUUCGGAUCGUAAAGCUCUGUUGUAAGAGAAGAACGAGUGUGAGAGUGGAAAGUUCACACUGUGACG
rnacentral:rRNA from 1 species